rnacentral:rRNA from 1 species
ACGUAGGGCGCGAGCGUUGUCCGGAUUCAUUGGGCGUAAAGCGCUUUAAGGCGGUUCGCUAAGUCGCGUGUGAAACCUCCAGGCUCAACCUGGAGACGCCACGCGAUACUGGCGUGACUAGAGUCCGGUAGGGGACCACGGAAUUCCUGGUGUAGCGGUGAAAUGCGCAGAUAUCAGGAGGAACACCAGUGGCGAAGGCGGUGGUCUGGGCCGGAACUGACGCUGUAGA